AUUGAACGCUGGCGGCAUGCCUUACACAUGCAAGUCGAACGGUAACAGGUCUUCGGAUGCUGACGAGUGGCGAACGGGUGAGUAAUACAUCGGAACGUGCCUAGUAGUGGGGGAUAACUACUCGAAAGAGUGGCUAAUACCGCAUGAGAUCUACGGAUGAAAGCAGGGGAUCGCAAGACCUUGUGCUACUAGAGCGGCCGAUGGCAGAUUAGGUAGUUGGUGGGAUAAAAGCUUACCAAGCCGACGAUCUGUAGCUGGUCUGAGAGGACGGUCGGUCACACUGGGACUGAGACACGGCCCGGACUCCUACGGGAGGCAGCAGUGGGGAAUUUUGGACAAUGGGCGCAAGCCUGAUUCAGCAAUGCCGCGUGCAGGAUGAAGGCCUUCGGGUUGUAAACUGCUUUUGUACGGAACGAAAAGCCCCGGGUUAAUACCCUGGGGUCAUGACGGUACCGUAAGAAUAAGCACCGGCUAACUACGUGCCAGCCGCCGCCGUAA
rnacentral:rRNA from 1 species